GACGAACGCUGGCGGCGUGCUUAACACAUGCAAGUCGAACGGAAAGGCCCUGCUUUUGUGGGGUGCUCGAGUGGCGAACGGGUGAGUAACACGUGAGUAACCUGCCCUUGACUUUGGGAUAACUUCAGGAAACUGGGGCUAAUACCGGAUAGGGGCUCCUGCUGCAUGGUGGGGGUUGGAAAGUUUCGGCGGUUGGGGAUGGACUCGCGGCUUAUCAGCUUGUUGGUGGGGUAGUGGCUUACCAAGGCUUUGACGGGUAGCCGGCCUGAGAGGGUGACCGGCCACAUUGGGACUGAGAUACGGCCCAGACUCCUACGGGAGGCAGCAGUGGGGAAUAUUGCACAAUGGGCGGAAGCCUGAUGCAGCAACGCCGCGUGCGGGAUGACGGCCUUCGGGUUGUAAACCGCUUUCGCCUGUGACGGAGCGUGAGUGACGGUAAUGGGUAAAGAAGCACCGGCUAACUACGUG
rnacentral:rRNA from 1 species